GAUGAACGCUGGCGGCGUGCCUAAUACAUGCAAGUCGAACGCUGAAGGAGGAGCUUGCUCUUCUGGAUGAGUUGCGAACGGGUGAGUAACGCGUAGGUAACCUGCCUGGUAGCGGGGGAUAACUAUUGGAAACGAUAGCUAAUACCGCAUGACAACAGUUAUUGUAUGAUAACUGUUUAAAAGGGGCAACUGCUCCACUACCAGAUGGACCUGCGUUGUAUUAGCUAGUUGGUGAGGUAACGGCUCACCAAGGCGACGAUACAUAGCCGACCUGAGAGGGUGAUCGGCCACACUGGGACUGAGACCAGGCCCAGACUCCUACGGGAGGCAGCAGUAGGGAAUCUUCGGCAAUGGACGGAAGUCUGACCGAGCAACGCCGCGUGAGUGAAGAAGGUUUUCGGAUCGUAAAGCUCUGUUGUAAGAGAAGAACGAGUGUGAGAGUGGAAAGUUCACACUGUGACGGUAUCUUACCAGAAAGGGACGGCUAACUACGUG
rnacentral:rRNA from 1 species